UACGAAGGGGGCUAGCGUUGUUCGGAAUUACUGGGCGUAAGCGCGCGUAGGGGGCUUUGUAAGUUAGGGGUGAAAGCCCGGAGCUCAACUCCGGAACUGCCUUUAAGACUGCAUCGCUAGAAUCAUGGAGAGGUGAGUGGAAUUCCGAGUGUAGAGGUGAAAUUCGUAGAUAUUCGGAAGAACACCAGUGGCGAAGGCGACUCACUGGACAUGUAUUGACGCUGAGGUGCGAAAGCGUGGGGAGCAAACAGG
rnacentral:rRNA from 1 species